rnacentral:pre_miRNA from 9 species
CCGGUGGCUGGGAAGGCAAGAAGUCGGCAUAGCUGUUUGAAUAAGAUACACGGCUGUGUCACUUCGAGCCAGCUCAAUCC